rnacentral:rRNA from 1 species
AGAGUUUGAUCCUGCUCAGAACGAACGCUGGCGGCACGCCUCAUACAUGCAAGUCGAGCGCGAAACCACCUUCGGGUGAUGUAGAGCGGCGAACGGGUGAGUAACAGGUGGAUAAUCUGCCCUUUGGCGGGGGACAACAGCUGGAAACGGCUGCUAAUACCGCAUGUGAUUGUGGGUUUAUGGCCUGCAAGGAAAGGCGCCUCAAAGCGCCACCAAAGGAUGAGUCCGCCCCCCAUUAGCUAGUUGGUGAGAUAAUAGCUCACCAAGGCUUCGAUGGGUAGCCGAGCUGAGAGGUUGAUCGGCCACACUGGAACUGAGACACGGUCCAGACACCUACGGGUGGCAGCAGUAGGGAAUAUUGCGCAAUGGGCGAAAGCCUGACGCAGCGAUGCCGCGUGAGUGACGAAGGUCUUAGGAUUGUAAAGCUCUUUUCUGAGGGAAGAAUAGGUCUGGUAGGAAAUGAUCGGAUUCUGACGGUACCUCAGGAAUAAGGAACGGCUAACUCCGUGCCAGCAGCCGCGGUAAUACGGAGGUUCCAAGCGUUGUUCGGAAUUACUGGGCGUAAAGGGAGCGCAGGCGGGCAGGUCAGUUUAAAGUGGAAUCCCAGGGCUCAACCCUGGACGUGCUUUGGAUACUGCCUGUCUUGAGUUCGUGAGAGGAAAGUGGAAUUCAGGGUGUAGCGGUGAAAUGCUUAGAUAUCCUGAGGAACACCAGUGGCGAAAGCGACUUUCUGGCACGAAACUGACGCUGAGGCUCGAAAGCAUGGGUAGCGAACGGGAUUAGAUACCCCGGUAGUCCAUGCCGUAAACGUUGUAUACUAGGUGCGGGAGGUAUCGACCCCUUCCGUGCCGAAGCUAACGCAUUAAGUAUACCGCCUGGGGAGUACGCGCGCAAGCGUGAAACUCAAAGGAAUUGACGGGGGCCCGCACAAGCGGUGGAGCAUGUGGUUUAAUUCGAGGCAACGCGAAGAACCUUACCCAGGCUUGACAUCCCAAGACCGCUCAUGAAAGUGAGUUUUCCCUUCGGGGACUUGGAGACAGGUGUUGCAUGGCUGUCGUCAGCUCGUGUCGUGAGAUGUUGGGUUAAGCCCCGCAACGAGCGCAACCCUCGCCUUUAGUUGCCAUCAUUUAGUUGGGCACUCUAAAGGAACCGCCGGUGAUAAGCCGGAGGAAGGUGGGGAUGACGUCAAGUCCUCAUGGCCCUUACGCGUU